AUUAAUUUAAUCCACUUCCAAAGUGGGUUCAAGUCUCUGCUCCUAGUCAGGAAGAGUUUGGAUUUGAAAACCAGUCUCCAGUGUUCCAAAUGGAGCCUCCACGGAGCUAUGCUUUGGAUGCAUAGGAGGUGCAGUUUCUCCAGAGGAUUUCCAAAACGUGCCUGUCCCAGUUCUCACCUUUAUGCAGUAGAACCUCGCUAGUCUGCAACAUUUGGGGACCUACACACUCACAGGAGGUGUUGUUGUAGCCACCUGCAAUUACCUGUUGGUCCCAGGAUAUGAGAGAGAGAAGUUUGCUGACUGAACUAAGCCAAGGCACUGGCAAAAUGGAAAAACCCAGCUUGCAAAUUUUUAAUCACAUGCCUUGCUAAGGGCUGCAGAUGGAUAUCAGAUGAGGAAUGGACUUUGUCAAGGUUUGUGUAACUGACUCUUGUAAACAAAAUAUUUUGGGAAAACAGGUCUCACUAACAGAAUUAUUUAAUGGGAAGGUACCUUGUUUAUUGCUAACUAAUAGAAAAUAGAUGUAUUCAACUCACAAGCAAAAUGUAUUAAUCAAAUCAUGGACUGUUUGUUGCUGUAGCUAUAUAUGUGAUUAAACAAGGAGAUGUUAUGUAACCAAAAUAAGAGAGUAGCCAAUAGUGAAUAAGUAUAGUAUGUUAUAUUUAGAAUACUGAAUUAUAUAACUCUAAAACUGUAUUAUAGUUGGGCGCAGUAACCUUUGCACAAUCCUUGCAGUACACAGCAAGAGAAUAUAAGGCUUGAGAAAUUCACUCAGCCUGCCAGCCUCUUGAUAUCCUGCUAUGCUUAGCUGUACUGCAGACCCUCUGUCUUACAAAAUAUGUAUGGAGCCAGAUAAGAGAAAGUCUGUAAGGCUUAUAGUGUUAAUCAAUAUUAUUUGACUAUUAUAUAUAACAUCAUGUGUGUUUUUAUAUAACUAUUAAUUUUAUUUAUAUUCUGCUUUUCCCAAAAUGUGUUUUGCUUAUGUUAAGCUGUUUAACGAAGGGAUGAUGUACAUUAGUGUAAUUUCAGAGUUAGGUACUGAGGAAAAGACAAGACAAACAAUUUUGUUAAUGCUUAGCUAACAUGCCCUCUGUACCAAGCUAUACCUGGUGAAGGAUGUUUAUAAAGUUUUGCUGAAUUUUGGAAUGCUAUGGUCAAAACAAGGUAAUAAACUAGUUACAAUCUC